GGACCGGGACGAGGAGCCGGGUCCGGAGGAGGAGACGCCGAGCCCCGCGGAGGUUCUGUCCGCCGCGGUGCUGCUCGGAGCCGGAGCCACGGCGAUCCAACACCCGGUGAUCUACGUCAAACUGCUCAUCCAGGUUGGACAUGAGCCUCUUCGUCCGUCGUGGGGAACCACUCUGUUUGGGCGCAGGGUCCUGUACCUGCCCGGCCUCUUCUCCUAUGCACAGCACAUCCUUGAGGUGGACGGGUCUGGAGGUUUGUUCAGAGGUUUGUCUCCGCACAUCGUCUGCUGCGCCGUGUCCACCCUCGUCAAGAGGAGAGUCAAACAGAUGGAGCUGGUCAGUGCCAAAGACGAGCAGGAGACGUCACUCAAGGCUCUGGUCAAAGAAUUGUGUCGGUUCGCUGCAUGGCUCAGUUUGUGGGCAGAGAAGAGAAAUACAGAGGGAUGUUGAGUUGUGUGAUGCAGAUCUUCAACGAGGAGGGACUGGCGGGUUUCUACGUGGGUCUGGUUCCACAUGUUCUGGGGGAGCUGCUGUAUCUUUGGGGCUACAACCUCCUGUGUCACUUCAUAAACACGUACGCCGACGACGACACGUUCAGUCAGGCCUCGGCCAUCAGGAGCUACACCAAGUUUGUCAUGAACAUCGCGGUGAACGUGCUGCGUUACCCCUUCACCCUGGUGGGGGAUCUGAUGGCCUUAAACGACUGUGGUCUGGCCGCUGGUCUUCCUCCAUAUUCUCCCGUCUUCAAGUCGUGGCUGCACUGCUGGACUCACCUGCGCCGUCAGGGAAACUUGUUCAGAGGCUCCAGUUUGUUCUUCCGUCGGGUUCCUGCCAGCGUGAUGCCCACUGUGGAGCUCUGAGCACCUCCUCCUCCUCCUCCUGCUGCUGCUGCUGUGUGCGUGUGCCCGACCCGUGUGCCCGACCCGUGUGCCCGACCCGUGUGCCCGACCCUCCCUCCACACCCUGAGCUCCUCCUGGCAGUGUGUGUGUGGUCGGUCUCCAGGGGGCAGCAGUGUUUUUAAUGCCAGUGACCUCCACUCACCUCCUCCAUGCCCACCUCCAUGCCCACCUCCAUGCCCUCCUCCAUGCCCACCUCCAUGCCCACCUCCAUGCCCACCUCCGCCCGCUCUGGUUCCCGAACUCUAAUGUCCCGUAAAGUUUCCAGACGUUAGAGGUUGUGUACGGAGGAUUUUUUUUUAGUUCCAAAUUGCCAGUGAAAGUUUGAAACAGCAUCAGAAACGUAGGAGCUUUGGAAUUAUGAUGAACAAACAACAAAGAAUGAAAAUCCACAGACGCAAGACGCCGUUUUCUCGAUUUUUUCCAAUUGUAGCUUCUUCGUAGUUUACACAAAGUUUGUCGCGACGGCGGACGAGAAUCCACGACCAGUUCGCCGCAAAAGAAAGUCGGUUUUUGAAGUCGCUGAAAGAAGAAGAGAAGAAGGGGAAAAGGAGCGAAGACAAACUGAGGUGAUUCUUGGAGAUUCCUUCCAGCGAUGGCGCGACUGAAGCAGACGAUAAAUGACUUCUGGACAUGAAACUUCAACAGCGAUUCGUUCGAGGAGGAGUUUCUACUGAGGAAGCUUUGGAUUUGGGAAAAAUGUGUUUCUGUGUUUCUCUUUCCUCGGAAAAUCCUCCAUACAACCUUUAAAUCAGACCUAAACUGGACUUUUCCGGAGCUUUAAAUCACAUUUUAAGUUUCUUCUCAUUGAGCCUCUGAAGUCGUGUUUGAAGAAUCUUUAAUCGUUUAUUUUCAAGACGCCGUUUUGUCGAUCUCCCCCCGUUUUCAGCUCCUCCAGUAGAAGCUCACUGCUCUGUGUUUCCUGUGUUCUCUGACAUGUGUAGUAUCGAGCUUUUUCACAACGGCCGCAGUGUUAGUGUGCUGUGGCUCUGCAGAACUUCAGUUAAUGUUUUUCUGUGUAAAUGUGUCGUAUUCUGCCCCAUCACCAAAUCUUCAACCAACAAACUCCACGAAGGAGAAACAUUCUAACAUGAAGAAUUUAUCCACAACUUUCAAGAGAAGAAAGAACAAAACUUAAAGGAAACAACGAUGACGUAUUGGUGAACUACUAACUACUGAGCAAAACUUAUUUAUGAGAUAAAUAAGCAGAUUGAUGAAGCUGCUGGAGAAUAUGACACAUUUACACACAUUUUGACACAAAAACCAUUAACCGGAAAUUCCACAAACCUACAGCCGGACACUUCUGGCCGCUGUGAAAAAGUCUAUUUUCAAGAUUCCGUUUUGCCGCUCUCCUCCCUGUUUUCAGCUCCACUGGUCCACGCCCACGGUGACGUCCGCACGUCUGUCUCCAGUUUGAUGUUCUUCAUGGGUGAUACUCGUAGGAUUGGGCAGCGUUGUUUUGGUGUAGUUAUUUUGGUCCAAAUUUAAAAGAAAAACCAAAACACUCUGCUCCAGUGUGAUGUGCAGCUUUCAACAGGAGGGUUUGUAAUACAUACCCAGUAAAUACAAAAUAAAAGCCUCACAGAAAGUCAUAAUUGUGAGUUUAAAAGUCAUAAUUGUGAGUUUAAAAGUCAUAAUUGUGAGUUUAAAAGUCAUAAUUGUGAGUUUUAAAGUCAUAAUUGUGAGUUUUAAAGUCAUAAUUGUGAGUUUAAAAGUCAUAAUUGUGAGUUUUAAAGUCAUAAUUGUGAGUUUUAAAGUCAUAAUUGUGAGUUUUAAAGUCAUAAUUGUGAGUUUUAAAGUCAUAAUUACGACUUUCUGUGAGGCUUUUAUUUUUUAUUUAUUGGCAGAAAUGGGCUUCUGUAGAAGGGGCCCACAGUGGAUUUUUAAAUGUUUUAUUUUUUAACAUUUGGACCAAAAGGAUGAUGCGACAAUGCCCAGUUGUACAAGUAUCACCCAUGAAGAACAUCAAACUGGAGACAGACGUGUGGACGUCACAGUGGGAGUGAAAACAGGGGCAGAUCAACAAAAUGACGUCUUGAAUACAGGAAAAUAAAGACUGAACUAUUAUAAAUACACUUCAGAGGAUCAAACCAACUGUGACCAGGGCUGGUAUCGGAAAGAAGUUGCCGAUACGAUACACAGUGCACUGUAUCAAAAAAACGUAUCGUGGCCUUUCGAUUCAAUACGAUUCGAUAAAAAAAAAAAGGCUAAAUCAUGGCUGUGAUACUAAAAGUCUGAGUCCACUGAGUUCGUGCAAAGUUAAUGAUCUCGGGCAGAAUAGGGAGA